GGAGUGGUAGUUCAGUUGGUUAGAAUACCGACCUGUCACGCCGGGGGUCGCGGGUUCGAGUCCCGUCCACUCCGCCA
rnacentral:tRNA from 1 species